GAUGAACGCUGGCGGCGUGCCUAAUACAUGCAAGUCGAGCGACCGGACGAGAAGCGUGCUCUUCUGAUGUUAGCGGCGGACGGGUGAGUAAGACGUGGAUAACCUACCUAUAAGACGGGGAUGAUUUCGGGAAACCGGAGAUAAUACCGGAUAAUAUUUUGAACGGCAUGGUUCAAAAGUGAUAGACGGUCUUGCUGUCACUAAGAGAUGGAGCCGCGCUGCAUUAGCUAGUUGGUAAGGUAACGGCUUACCAAGGCAACGAUGCAUAGCCGAGCUGAGAGGGUGAUCGGCCACACUGGAACUGAGACACGGUCCAGACUCCUACGGGAGGCAGCAGUAGGGAAUCUUCCGCAAUGGGCGAAAGCCUGACCGAGCAACGCCGCGUGAGUGAUGAAGGCCUUCGGAUCGUAAAGCUCUGUUAUUAGGGAAGAACAUAUGUGUAAGUAACUCUGCACAUCUUGACGGUACCUAAACAGAAAGCACCGGCUAACUUCGUG
rnacentral:rRNA from 1 species